UAUAUUAACUAGGGGCGCAAAUUGCUGAGACGGUCAUGGACCGAACCCUUCGAACCUGUGAGUUAACCCUCGCGAAGGAAAGUUAACGUGAUUUUUU
rfam:Lactobacillus mixtipabuli DNA, scaffold: sequence03, strain: IWT30.